UACGGAGGAUUCGAGCGUUAUCCGGAUUUAUUGGGUUUAAAGGGUGCGUAGGCGGGCUAAUAAGUCAGUGGUGAAAUCACUCAGCUUAACUGAGUAACUGCCAUUGAUACUGCCAGGCUAGGAUUUGGUUGCUGUGGGUGGAAUGUGUGGUGUAGCGGUGAAAUGCUUAGAUAUCACACAGAAUAUCGAUUGCGAAGGCAGCUCACAAAGCCAAGAUUGACGCUGAGGCACGAAAGUGUGGGGAUCAAA
rnacentral:rRNA from 1 species